GAUGAAGAACGCAGCGAAAUGCGAUAAGUAAUGCGAAUUGUAGACUUCAGUGAAUCAUCGAAUCUUUGAACGCACAUUGCGCCCGCCAGCAUUCUGGCGGGCAUGCCUGUCCGAGCGUCACUACACCACUCAGCACCCCCUCUGCGGGGGCGCUGGCGUUGGGGAUCGGCCGCCCACCGUGGCGCCCGUCCCCCAAAUCGAGUGGCAGUCCGGUGUUGUCUUCCCCUGCGCAGUAGCGAUGCGACGCAGCGGGUUUCACCCGGCGCUCGCCGUAAAACCCCCAACUCUUCUGAAGUUGACCUCGGAUCAGGUAGGACUACCCGCUGAACUUAAGCAUAUCAAUAAGCGGAGGA
rnacentral:misc_RNA from 1 species